rnacentral:rRNA from 1 species
UUGACCUCGGAUCAGGUAGGGAUACCCGCUGAACUUAAGCAUAUCAAUAAGCGGAGGAAAAGAAACCAACCGGGAUUGCCUCAGUAACGGCGAGUGAAGCGGCAAGAGCUCAAAUUUGAAAGCUGGCUCCUUCGGGGUCCGCAUUGUAAUUUGCAGAGGAUGCUUCGGGUGCGGCCCCUGUCUAAGUGCCCUGGAACGGGCCGUCAGAGAGGGUGAGAAUCCCGUCUGGGAUGGGGUGUCCGCGCCCGUGUGAAGCUCCUUCGACGAGUCGAGUUGUUUGGGAAUGCAGCUCUAAAUGGGUGGUAAAUUUCAUCUAAAGCUAAAUACUGGCCGGAACCGAUAGCGCACAAGUAGAGUGAUCGAAAGAUGAAAAGCACUUUGAAAAGAGAGUUAAAAGCACGUGAAUUGUUGAAAGGGAAGCGCUUGCGACCUGACUAGCCUCCA